UAACUUAUUUGUUUUUGCCAAAACUAUAAAAACAUCCCACCGCCUAUUACAGAAGUAUGCUCAACUUCAUACGCUACCGUCGUUACUCCACCGGAUUUCUUCUAUCCUAAUCCUAAUAAAAAAGUACUGGUUGUGGACUGUGAUUUUCUUGAGUUGAGGCCUAUUGGAAACAACUUCUCUAGUCACCCACAAAGGAUCGGGAUGACCGGAUUCGUAAUGGAAGAACUGCCUGAGAAGGUCAUCCCUGAAAUGGGUUACCAAUCAUUACACAACUAUUGCUGACCAAAUUCAGAACUGUUUUGGACCUGCAACAUUCAUUCGCUAGCAUCAAGAUCAUGUACCAGGAAUUUUUCACUAAACCUCACAGGAGGCUAAUGGGAUAUCUUAAGGUUUUGAAGGUAUUUGUACCUUGGAAUUGAUGAUUGUAGCAAGAUAAUUUGUACAACUGGUAAUUCUGUAUAAGCCUACCUAAUUGAGAACUGUUGCACUUCUUAGGAUUACUGAAUUUUAUUUCAAAUGAUUUCAUUGUCGGAUUUGUAGACAAUUUGCUAUGAGUAAAAUAAUAAGCUAUUGACUUCAA